UGAACGCUGGCGGCAAGCCUUACACAUGCAAGUCGAACGGUAACAGGUCUUCGGAUGCUGACGAGUGGCGAACGGGUGAGUAAUACAUCGGAACGUGCCCGAGAGUGGGGGAUAACGAAGCGAAAGCUUUGCUAAUACCGCAUACGAUCUCAGGAUGAAAGCAGGGGACCGCAAGGCCUUGCGCUCACGGAGCGGCCGAUGGCAGAUUAGGUAGUUGGUGGGAUAAAAGCUUACCAAGCCGACGAUCUGUAGCUGGUCUGAGAGGACGACCAGCCACACUGGGACUGAGACACGGCCCAGACUCCUACGGGAGGCAGCAGUGGGGAAUUUUGGACAAUGGGCGCAAGCCUGAUCCAGCCAUGCCGCGUGCAGGAUGAAGGCCUUCGGGUUGUAAACUGCUUUUGUACGGAACGAAAAGACUCUGGUUAAUACCUGGGGUCCAUGACGGUACCGUAAGAAUAAGCACCGGCUAACUACGUGCCAGCAGCCGCGGUAAUACGUAGGGUGCGAGCGUUAAUCGGAAUUACUGGGCGUAAAGCGUGCGCAGGCGGUUAUGUAAGACAGAUGUGAAAUCCCCGGGCUCAACCUGGGAACUGCAUUUGUGACUGCGUAGCUAGAGUACGGCAGAGGGGGAUGGAAUUCCGCGUGUAGCAGUGAAAUGCGUAGAUAUGCGGAGGAACACCGAUGGCGAAGGCAAUCCCCUGGGCCUGUACUGACGCUCAUGCACGAAAGCGU
rnacentral:rRNA from 1 species